UUGGAGGGCAAGUCUGGUGCCAGCAGCCGCGGUAAUUCCAGCUCCAAUAGCGUAUAUUAAAGUUGUUGCAGUUAAAAAGCUCGUAGUUGAACUUCGGGGUUUACCCAUUGGUCAGGCUUAAUUGUCUGUACUGGUGAGAUGAAUCUCUACCUUCUGAGGAACUUUCAUGCCAUUUAUUUGGUGUGAUGGGAAAUCAGGACUGUUACUUUGAAAAAAUUAGAGUGUUUAAAGCAGGCUAACGUCUGAAUACAUUAGCAUGGAAUAAUAAAAUAGGACGGUGGUCCUGUUUUGUUGGUUUCUGAAUCACCGUAAUGAUUAAUAGGGAUAGUUGGGGGCAUUAGUAUUCAAUUGUCAGAGGUGAAAUUCUUGGAUUUAUUGAAGACUAACCUCUGCGAAAGCAUUUGCCAAGGAUGUUUUCAUUAAUCAAGAACGAAAGUUAGGGGAUCGAAGACGAUCAGAUACCGUCGUAGUCUUAACCAUAAACUAUGCCGACUAGGGAUCGGACGAAGUUAAUUUUAUAAUGACGCGUUCGGCGCCUUACGGGAAAC
rnacentral:rRNA from 1 species